rnacentral:tRNA from 1 species
GCUGUGAUGGCCGAGUGGUUAAGGCGUUGGUUUUGAAAUCCAAUGGGGUUUCCCUGCGCAGGUUCGAACCCUGCUCUCAGCG